rnacentral:rRNA from 1 species
AUACAGAGGGUGCGAGCGUUAAUCGGAAUUACUGGGCGUAAAGCGCGCGUAGGCGGCUGAUUAAGUCAGAUGUGAAAUCCCAGGGCUCAACCUGGGAACUGCAUCUGAUACUGGUAAGCUAGAGUUUGGGAGAGGGAAGUAGAAUUUCAGGUGUAGCGGUGAAAUGCAUAGAGAUCUGAAGGAAUACCAGUGGCGAAGGCGACUUCCUGGCCUAAAACUGACGCUGAGGUGCGAAAGCGUGGGUAGCAAACGGGAUUAGAAACCCCAGUAGUCC